AUGGUCCAAUGCCUUGUCAGUUUCGAGUUGGUGUUCCCACCAUCCUUCUUCGAUAUUAUGACGCACCUCCUGCUCCACCUAGUCGAAGAGAUUUCCAUUCUCGGUCCUGUAUUUCUACACAAUAUGUUCCCCUUUGAGAGGUUCAUGGGAGUAUUAAAGAAAUAUGUUCGUAACCGUGCUAGGCCAGAAGGAAGCAUCGUCAAGGGCUAUGGAAAUGAGGAGGUAAUUGAGUUCUGUAUUGACUAUGUUCCUGACCUUAAGCCGAUUGGUAUUCCUCAAUCGCGGCACGAGGGGAGACUAAGUGGAAAAGGCAAGAUCGGAAGGAAAUCCACGAUAUGUAUGGACGGUCAUUCUAUGACUGAAGCACACCACACAGUUCUGCAAAAUUCCAGCUUUGUGGCUCCGUACUUCGAGCAACACAAGAAUAUUUUACACUCGGACAACCCGGGGAAGCCUGAAUCCUGGAUUAGAAAGGCCCACAUGGAGACUUUCGGCAGUUGGUUGCGAAAACAUUUAAUGAAUGACAAUGAUGUUGGAGAUCAGCUGUACAUGUUGGCCAAGAAACCAUCUUCGACUAUAACGAUUUUCCAAGGGUACGAGAUAAAUGGGAAUACAUUUUACACCAUCGCCCAAGAUAAAAAGAGCACCAACCAAAAC
rnacentral:rRNA from 1 species